CACGUAGGGGGCGAGCGUUGUCCGGAAUUAUUGGGCGUAAAGGGCUCGUAGGCGGUUUGUCGCGUCGGGAGUGAAAACACCGGGCUUAACUCGGUGCUUGCUUUCGAUACGGGCAGACUAGAGGCAUGCAGGGGAGAAUGGAAUUCCUAGUGUAGCGGUGAAAUGCGCAGAUAUCAGGAGGAACACCGGUGGCGAAGGCGGGUCUCUGGGCCGAUACUGACGCUGAGGAGCGAAAGCGUGGGGAGCGAACAGG
rnacentral:rRNA from 1 species